GAUGAACGCUGGCGGCGUGCCUAAUACAUGCAAGUCGAGCGGACAGACGAGGAGCUUGCUCCUCUGAUGUUAGCGGCGGACGGGUGAGUAACACGUGGAUAACCUACCUAUAAGACUGGGAUAACUUCGGGAAACCGGAGCUAAUACCGGAUAACAUGUUGAACCGCAUGGUUCAACAGUGAAAGACGGUCUUGCUGUCACUUAUAGAUGGAUCCGCGCCGCAUUAGCUAGUUGGUAAGGUAACGGCUUACCAAGGCAACGAUGCGUAGCCGACCUGAGAGGGUGAUCGGCCACACUGGAACUGAGACACGGUCCAGACUCCUACGGGAGGCAGCAGUAGGGAAUCUUCCGCAAUGGGCGAAAGCCUGACGGAGCAACGCCGCGUGAGUGAAGAAGGUCUUCGGAUCGUAAAACUCUGUUAUUAGGGAAGAACAAAUGUGUAAGUAACUAUGCACGUCUUGACGGUACCUAAUCAGAAAGCCACGGCUAACUACGUG
rnacentral:rRNA from 1 species